UACGUAGGGUCCAAGCGUUAUCCGGAAUCACUGGGCGCAAAGCGUGCGUAGGUGGCGUGUUAAGUGAGAUGUUAAAUCGUGUGGCUCAACCAUAUCGAUGCAUCUCAUACUGGCAUGCUAGAGGACAGCAGAGGCAAGUGGAAUUUGUAGUGUAGCAGUGAAAUGCGUAGAUAUCGUAAGGAAGACCAGUGGCGAAGGCGGGUCUCUGGACAGUUCCUGACGCUGAGGCACGAAGGCCAGGGGAGCAAACGGG
rnacentral:rRNA from 1 species